AGCCCCGAGGUGAUUAACAUGUUGAAUUGCAAAUUCAAAGGAGCAGUCUUAAGCCUCUGCCGGGGCUU
rnacentral:tRNA from 1 species